rnacentral:rRNA from 1 species
CUACGGGCGGCAGCAGUGGGGAAUAUUGCGCAAUGGACGAAAGUCUGACGCAGCGACGCCGCGUGAGGGACGAAGGUCUUCGGAUUGUAAACCUCUUUCAGUAGGGACGAAGCGAAAGUGACGGUACCUAAAGAAGAAGCACCGGCUAACUAUGUGCCAGCAGCCGCGGUAAUACAUAGGGUGCAAGCGUUGUCCGGAUUUAUUGGGCGUAAAGAGUUCGUAGGCGGUUUAUCGCGUCGGGUGUGAAAACUCAGGGCUUAACCCUGAGCCUGCACUCGAUACGGGUUUACUUGAGGACGGCAGGGGAGACUGGAACUCCUGGUGUAGCGGUGGAAUGCGCAGAUAUCAGGAAGAACACCAAUGGCGAAGGCAGGUCUCUGGGCCGAUUCUGACGCUGAGGAACGAAAGCGUGGGGAGCAAACAGGAUUAGAUACCCUCGUAGUC